GAUGAACGCUAGCUACAGGCUUAACACAUGCAAGUCGAGGGGCAGCAUGUCGGUUGCUUGCAACCGAUGAUGGCGACCGGCGCACGGGUGAGUAACGCGUAUCCAACCUACCCUUGUCCAUCGGAUAACCCGUCGAAAGGCGGCCUAACACGAUAUGCGGUUCACCGCAGGCAUCUAAGGUGAACGAAAUGUGAAGGAGAAGGAUGGGGAUGCGUCUGAUUAGCUUGUUGGCGGGGUAACGGCCCACCAAGGCGACGAUCAGUAGGGGUUCUGAGAGGAAGGUCCCCCACAUUGGAACUGAGACACGGUCCAAACUCCUACGGGAGGCAGCAGUGAGGAAUAUUGGUCAAUGGACGGGAGUCUGAACCAGCCAAGUAGCGUGCAGGACGACGGCCCUAUGGGUUGUAAACUGCUUUUAUAGGGGGAUAAAGUGUGCCACGUGUGGCAUAUUGCAGGUACCCUAUGAAUAAGGACCGGCUAAUUCCGUGCCAGCAGCCGCGGUAAUACGGAAGGUCCGGGCGUUAUCCAGAUUUAUUGGGUUUAAAGGGAGCGUAGGCCGUCUUAUAAGCGUGUUGUGAAAUGUCGGGGCUCAACCUGGGCAUUGCAGCGCGAACUGUGAGACUUGAGUGCGCAGGAAGUAGGCGGAAUUCGUCGUGUAGCGGUGAAAUGCUUAGAUAUGACGAAGAACUCCGAUUGCGAAGGCAGCCUGCUGUAGCGCAACUGACGCUGAAGCUCGAAAGCGUGGGUAUCGAACAGG
rnacentral:rRNA from 1 species